CAUGUCCUUUUGUGAUUAAUUUAAGGUUUGACCUGCUCAAUGAAAGUUAAAUAGCCGCAGUAUUUUGACUGUGCAAAGGUAGCAUAAUAAUUAGUUUCUUAAUUAGGAACUGGAAUGAAUGGUUGGACAAGAGAAUUACUGUCUCUUUUUUAAUAUUUUUGAAUUUUAUUUUUAAGUGAAAAAGCUUAAAUUUUUAUAAAAGACGAGAAGACCCUAUAGAGUUUAAUAUUUUUUUAAUAUAAUAUAUUAGUAUAUUAAUUUUUAAAUAAAAUAUUUGGUUGGGGUGACUGAGAGAAAUAAAUAAUUCUUUUAAUUUUAAAUUGAUAAUUUUCAAUUUUUAAAUCUAUAAUUUAUAAAAUUAAAAUAAAUUACCUUAGGGAUAACAGCGUAAUUUUUCUUUAAAGUUCUUAUUAAAAGGAAAGUUUGCGACCUCGAUGUUGGAUUAAAAUUAAUUUUUGGUGCAGUAACUUAAAAAUUAGGUCUGUUCGACCUUUAAAAUUUUACAUGAUCUGAGUUUAAACCGGUGUGAGCCAGGUUGGAUUCUAUCUUUAGAAAAUUUUUAUAUUUUAGUACGAAAGGACCAAAUAUAAAUUAAAUUAAUUG
rnacentral:rRNA from 1 species